AAAUUGAAGAGUUUGAUCAUGGCUCAGAUUGAACGCUGGCGGCAGGCCUAACACAUGCAAGUCGAACGGUAACAGGAAGCAGCUUGCUGCUUUGCUGACGAGUGGCGGACGGGUGAGUAAUGUCUGGGAAACUGCCUGAUGGAGGGGGAUAACUACUGGAAACGGUAGCUAAUACCGCAUAACGUCGCAAGACCAAAGAGGGGGACCUUCGGGCCUCUUGCCAUCGGAUGUGCCCAGAUGGGAUUAGCUUGUUGGUGGGGUAACGGCUCACCAAGGCGACGAUCCCUAGCUGGUCUGAGAGGAUGACCAGCCACACUGGAACUGAGAC
rnacentral:rRNA from 1 species